UACGGGGGGGGCAAGCGUUGUUCGGAAUUACUGGGCGUAAAGGGCUCGUAGGCGGCCCACUAAGUCAGACGUGAAAUCCCUCGGCUUAACCGGGGAACGGCGUCUGAUACUGGAGGGCUUGAGUUUGGGAGAGGGAUGCGGAAUUCCAGGUGUAGCGGUGAAAUGCGUAGAUAUGCGGAGGAACACCGAUGGCGAAGGCAAUCCCCUGGACCUGUACUGACGCUCAUGCACGAAAGCGUGGGGAGCAAACAGG
rnacentral:rRNA from 1 species